AAUUUGUUUUUUUUUCCCUCAUCCUGCCAGAGAGUUCAUAGUUAUCUUUGCUUGCAAUUAGGUGGUAUCUUUUGUGAAAACGUCAUGCAGUGUUUAUAAUUUGUUUUUAACCACUAAAGUAAAUAAAGAUGUGAUUAAUGCUUAAGUAAGGUAUCAGUCAUUCCCAAGCCCUCAUCUUUGGCCAGAUGAAAUGCCUCUGCCCAUGAAGUUUCACCUUGUUCUCUAGCCCAACAUAUUGCCCUCUCUUCUGUGGACUUUUCAUGCCAUUGCGCCAGCACAUUCUCAUGUUGCAGAGCAUGCUGGCCUUGUAUGACACUCACUGAUGUCUGUGGACAUUCCUCUACCUACAAGGUGAGCUCAUUGUGAGCAGGAUGUUUAUCUGCUCUACCCACUUCCUCAUCUCAGUGACUUGUACUUAUUUGGUCUCAGUAAAUGAAGUUUUUCUGGCCAUUAGCACAUUAUGUGCAUUCUAAUCACUUACUUGCCUGUA
rnacentral:lncRNA from 1 species